CUGGUUUUCUCCUCCUACAACUAAACAAACAAAGCGUGGAAUGAGUGGGAAUGUUUAAUGCCAAAAGCCUGCAGAAGGAGAGCUGCUCUGGCCUGGAGACCUGUGCAGACAGAAGGAAAAUGCUCCGGGAGUCCACUAGAGGGUCCAGCUCGGAGCAGGCUGCAGCCUCUGGGUGAGGCAGGUGGAGCAGAGCCCCCUGCUCCCGGCUGGAUGCUGCUCCGAGCCCAGCCCCAGGUCAGACUACACCUGAGAGAGGAGAAAAGGAGCGGAUCAGCCGGGAAAUUUGUCCUAAUGAUGGUCAGAAAAGGAGAAGAAAAGGAGGGGAAAGCCUCUGCGCCGUGUCCGCUGCAGGAGGAGGGAUGCUGCCUGCCCAGGGUGGGCAGCGGCUCCGGGACCUCCUCCCAGGUGAUGUUUAAGGCACAGAAAAACCUCCUCAUGCCGCCGCACAAUGGCCACAUUGUAAACGCGUCCCUUCCCAUCAUGUAGGACGUUGGGAUCGUUAGUUUUGGCUGGAAAUAAAAUAUAUAUUACACGCAAAGGGCUCUGCUAGCGGGCAGCAAACGCGCGCUGCCGCUGUAAUGUUUCUCAUUAUAUUUCCCCUUUGUUCUUAAAAAAAUGACUGAGUUAUUGCAUAAUGCGGGGAUCAAAGAAGAGGGAAAAUACAGCAUGAGGAUGGAAACGAAGGCAGCCUGUCAGUUUUAAGCGCAAAUGAAUGCUCGGUUUCUUUUAUAAAGAAAUCCCGCUACAGAAAUAAUCGCCUGAAAAAAAAUCCAAUUUUGACAAGUAAAUAGUUUGUUUCCUCCCCAUUUCAAACAGCCUUGAGAAACCUACAGCACCUAGUCAGAGGAUUUAUUUAGGUUUUCUCGAUUCUUGAGUUUUCCCCCGAAUUUUG